CCUGGGUGCUGGACCCCACCUGACAAAAGGCCUACUGCCUCCUGUCAUUGAGGAGCAAUGACUUCAAGGUCACAGCUGUCUCUCCAGGGCCCCUGAGGUGGGGGAAGGGAAUGAGAGUGCCUAAACUUCAUAAUUGAGAACAGGAGACCUGGCCCUUGCCCAUCUUUGCUGGGAUACUGGACUUCGUAACCUUGCUUGCAUCCACUGUUCAUGGGACCAUGUAGCAUGCUCUCCUUUGGAAAAUUACUAAACAUAGGAUUAGCAGCACCUGGAAAUGUCAGGAAGGCCCGACAAAGUCUGAAGCAAGUAAAAAAUAUUUUUAUUUGCAGGUUCUCGGGUAAGGUGACAAGCCUAGGAAAAUAGGUACUUUUAAUUCCCCAAGUGGGGAAAACAGAGCCAGUUUUCUUGACAUAAUUAUCGUUUCAUCUGUUCAAGGUAUGGAGAAUGCCAACUACUGUCCCAGAAUGGACCCGAGUAAUUGAAACCAGUUGUGAGUGGAAAUUCUAGAAGGGUAAUACUAGAACUUACACGGCUUACCAUUAUUUAGGUGGUUGUCUGAAGAGUUCAUGCAAAAUAAUUUGGAGUGCUGGAGGUAAUUGGAGAGACCCCUAAUAUCAUUAAAGGUCUGAAAGAUGCCAGGGGUGCUGGAGUGGGAUCAAGAAAGAGGUGUCAGUUCCCGAGCUCCCAGCAGUGACUGUCAGCAAGGGACAGAAGGUGAAUGCAGCUUGUUAGGCGUAUGGCAACAGCAAAGAAGCAGGCUUCUAUGUAACCUGUUAGGGAUGGCUCUUGAAGAGAGACAACACUUGAAAACAUAAUGGCCAGAUGAUCUCAGGAUGCAAGAAUCCUUCAGAUGUUUGCUGAGAACUAUUGAAAGAUGCUUCAGUCUGACAAAAGCAGGAAAUGUUAAUUUUCAGUUCUUUUAUAAAUAGAGGGAUGAUCUGUAAAGGGAAACUGUUGUCACAGCAAAUAUACACUUGAGUGAUUCAAACCUAAUUAGUGGUUUUAUGAUUCACUUUGAAUAUAUUUACUGUAAUAACUGAUAAACUGCUUUUCAAAUUCAGCUGUUGAAUAGAUUCUAUUUUUUAAAAAAAUAAAACAGCUCUGAAAAUUCA
rnacentral:lncRNA from 1 species